UGCAAAUUACAAUUCCCCAUAAUCUUUGAUAAUUUCCUGUGUUACUGUAUGCUGAAUCCCUAUUUGCAGUGUAUCUUUUCAGAUACAUACUUUGUGGAUAUCUACCAACAUAGAUUCAGGGAGCACUCACAUGUGCAUAAGCAAAACAAAUAGGGAGAAAUUCCACUUAAUACAGUGGAUAAUGCCAGAAGCCAUUAAUUCAGACAUGACCUUCCUUAAUCUGGCUCUCAUUUACUUCUACUCUUCCCCUGCCACUUAAAAGGCUUACUGUGAACAUACCUGCGUAAAUGCUUUGUCAUCUCUAAAGUGUCUUUUAAGUGAAUGGUCUUGUUUGCUCCAGUGUGGUAGUGGGCGUCAGUCAAACCACCCAGCCCCUUGAACAGAGGUGGCUUAGGAAAGCCAAGAGUUGUGUGUGAUGUGGACUUAGAACCAUAUUUCCCCUUGCAGAGCCAGCUUGCACACUGGAGGGUGGAAUCCUUGAUCUUGGCUUGCUUUGACCCAAUAGGCUACCAAUGUCAGGCAUGUGGUUUUUCUUCUACCCAAAGUUCCCAGUCCCUCUUCCCUUAAAGCUCUUCGCUGGAUGAUGGAGUCAUGUAUUAUAUGAAGAAGACAUCAGUGCGUGACUGACAACAGGGGUCCUGGGGUUUCUAAUGGAGACCGCUGCUUUAUGAUGAUUCUGACCAAAGAUCUCUCAGUUGGACUUUCCUGAAAAUACUUAUAUGACUUCCAUAACUUCUUUUCUCUUUUGUUCUUUCAGAAUUAAGAGAGGCUCAAUUAUACUCAGUGGAUGUGACUCUGGACCCGGACACGGCCUACCCCAGCCUGAUCCUCUCCGAUAACCUGCGGCAAGUGCGGUACAGUUACCUCCAGCAGGACCUGCCUGACAACCCUGAGCGGUUCAAUCUGUUUCCCUGUGUCUUGGGCUCUCCAUGCUUCAUCGCUGGGAGACAUUAUUGGGAGGUAGAGGUGGGAGAUAAAGCCAAGUGGACCAUAGGUGUCUGCGAAGACUCGGUGUGCAGAAAAGGUGGAGUAACCUCGGCCCCCCAGAAUGGAUUCUGGGCAGUGUCCUUGUGGUAUGGGAAAGAAUACUGGGCUCUUACCUCCCCAAUGACGGCCCUCCCCCUGCGGACCCCUCUGCAGCGGGUGGGGAUUUUCUUGGACUAUGAUGCUGGCGAGGUCUCCUUCUACAAUGUGACAGAGAGGUGUCACACCUUUACUUUCUCUCAUGCUACCUUCUGUGGGCCUGUCCGGCCCUACUUCAGUCUGAGUUAUUCGGGAGGGAAGAGCGCAGCUCCUCUGAUCAUCUGCCCCAUGAGUGGGAUCGAUGGGUUUUCUGGCCACGUUGGGAAUCAUGGUCAUUCCAUGGAGACCUCCCCUUGAGGUGAACACAGGCCAGAGUGGCUGUUGGCCACAGUCUUACCCCAGGCAUAAGGCAUCUUGUUGCCUUGCCACUUCCUGUCCAUCACUGCUGGAUAUCCUUACCACUCUCCAUGCCCCUGCAGUGGAAGACAGGGCGUCCGUGUUCUCUGUCAUCCUCUCCCUUCCUGUGAAAAUUGUGAGAUGUAUGAGAAGCAUCAAGAUUGUUCAGAAAUAAAAACCAGAUGUCCACCUGUAGUGUAUCACAUUUUUUGGUUUUGUACAUUUACUGGAAGAAAUAAAGAAUAUGGAUAAUCUUUG